rnacentral:rRNA from 1 species
AAAUAGAUACCCCGGUAGUCCAUGCCGUAAACGAUGUCUACUAGCCGUUGGAGCCCUUGAGGCUUUAGUGGCGCAGCUAACGCGAUAAGUAGACCGCCUGGGGAGUACGGUCGCAAGACUAAAACUCAAAUGAAUUGACGGGGGCCCGCACAAGCGGUGGAGCAUGUGGUUUAAUUCGAUGCAACGCGAAGAACCUUACCUGGCCUUGACAUACAGAGAACUUUCCAGAGAUGGAUUGGUGCCUUCGGGAACUCUGAUACAGGUGCUGCAUGGCUGUCGUCAGCUCGUGUCGUGAGAUGUUGGGUUAAGUCCCGCAACGAGCGCAACCCUUUUCCUUAUUUGCCAGCACUUCGGGUGGGAACUUUAAGGAUACUGCCAGUGACAAACUGGAGGAAGGCGGGGACGACGUCAAGUCAUCAUGGCCCUUACGGCCAGGGCUACACACGUGCUACAAUGGUCGGUACAAAGGGUUGCUACUGCGCGAGCAGAUGCUAAUCUCAAAAAGCCGAUCGUAGUCCGGAUCGC